GAGAUAUAUGGAGCUUGCUUUAUAUAACUUAGCAGCGAACGGGUGAGUAACACGUAGAUAAUCUAUCCUAUACUGGGGAAUAGCCCGAUGAAAGUUGGAUUAAUACCGCAUAUAGCUAUAUAGUUGCAUGAUUAUGUAGUGAAAGAUUUAUUGGUAUAGGAGGAGUCUGCGGCACAUUAGCUAGUAGGUGAGGUAAAGGCUUACCUAGGCAACGAUGUGUAGCCGGUCUGAGAGGAUGAACGGCCACAAUGGAACUGAGACACGGUCCAUACUCCUACGGGAGGCAGCAGUGGGGAAUAUUGCACAAUGGGGGAAACCCUGAUGCAGCAACGCCGCGUGAGUGAAGAAGGUUUUCGGAUUGUAAAGCUCUGUUAGCAGGGAAGAGGAAGGACGGUACCUGCAGAGGAAGCCACGGCUAACUACGUGCCAGCAGCCGCGGUAAUACGUAGGUGGCAAGCGUUGUUCGGAAUAACUGGGCGUAAAGGAUGCGUAGGCGGUUAAACAAGUUAUAUGUUAAAUAUAUAGGCUUAACCUGUAGAAAGCAUAUAAAACUGUUUAACUAGAGUGCAGGAGAGGUAAGUGGAAUUCCUAGUGUAGCGGUGAAAUGCGUAGAGAUUAGGAAGAACACCAGUGGCGAAGGCGACUUACUGGACUGUAACUGACGCUGAGGCAUGAGAGCAUGGGGAGCAAACAGGAUUAGAUACCCUGGUAGUCCAUGCUGUAAACGAUGGGUACUAGGUGUGGGUUGUGAAUAACAAUUCGUGCCGU
rnacentral:rRNA from 1 species